rnacentral:rRNA from 1 species
UACGAAGGGGGCUAGCGUUGCUCGGAAUUACUGGGCGUAAAGCGCGCGCAGGUGGUCUGUUAAGUUGGGGGUGAAAGCCCGGAGCUCAACUCCGGAAUUGCCUUCAAAACUGGCAGGCUAGAGUUCGGAAGAGGAGAGUGGAAUUCCCAGUGUAGAGGUGAAAUUCGUAGAUAUUGGGAAGAACACCAGUGGCGAAGGCGGCUCUCUGGUCCGACACUGACACUGAGGCGCGACAGCGUGGGGAGCAAACAGG